rnacentral:sRNA from 2 species
AUGUACUCCGUACACGCCGGUUCCUCCGCGCCGUCCGCAACCACCUGACGGCUGCUCGCUACAUUUUGUUAGCC